GAGAGUGUAGCUCAGUGGUAGACUGCAUGCUUAGCAUGCACGAGGUCCUGGGUUCAAUCCCCAGUAUCUCCA
rnacentral:tRNA from 1 species